CGCGAGUCCCGCAAACCGAACCUCUUUUCCGCACUGCUCGCUGUUGUGGCUACUCCGGGGAGGAAAGCCAGCGAAGGAGAGAGACACAGAGAGAUAAAAUCACUUCUGCGGUGAAAGCAGAUGGCUCACAACUUGAUUUCUGAAAGGGGAGAUAAUAAUUGGGGUGCCCAUCGGGCCUCUGCAGCCCCUGACCUGACUGGAAUUUCCACAACCUUCCAAGCAUACGGCAGACAUCAUUUCAACUGGUCAAGCUUUUCCUGGCCAGGGAGUUGCUGGAAAGAAAAAGGGACAAAAGGAAAGAAGCCGGCCCACCUGACCAGGGAUGCAUGCGACUGUCAGAAGGGAAAAGCUCCAGACUGGAGAACUGGUCUCUCUCUGAAGAUCAACCAUAUUUCCGGGAGAUCUCCAGGCCCCACCUGGAAGGUGACAACCGGC